rnacentral:rRNA from 1 species
CGGCAAGUCUCCCGUUAAAUCCAGCGAUCUAAUCGCUGGACUGCGGGAGAUACUGUCGGGCUAGGGGGCGGGAGAGGCCGGCGGUAUUCCCGGGGUAGGGGUGAAAUCCUAUAAUCCCGGGAGGACCACCAGUGGCGAAGGCUGCCGGCUAGAACGCGCCCGACGGUGAGGGACGAAAGCCGGGGGAGCGAACCGGAUUAGAUACCCGGGUAGUCCCGGCUGUAAACGAUGCGGGCUAGGUGUUGGCACGGCUACGAGCCGUGCCAGUGCCGCAGGGAAGCCGUUAAGCCCGCCGCCUGGGGAGUACGGCCGCAAGGCUG